rnacentral:rRNA from 1 species
UACAGAGGUCCCGAGCGUUGUUCGGAUUCACUGGGCGUAAAGGGUGCGUAGGUGGCAUGGUAAGUUUGAUGUGAAAGCUCAGGGCUCAACCCUGAAAUGGCAUUGAAUACUACUGUGCUGGAGGUUUGGAGGGGGGACUGGAAUUCUCGGUGUAGCAGUGAAAUGCGUAGAUAUCGAGAGGAACACCAGUGGCGAAGGCGAGUCCCUGGACAACACCUGACACUGAGGCACGAAAGCCGGGGGAGCAAACAGGAUUAGAUACCCCAGUAGUCC